CAGAAAGUUACCAGUGAAUGUGUAUUCUGAAAUAACAAACCAAAAAUAGAAAGACAUGAUUUGCUAGUUAUUCUUCAGUUCUAGUCUCUAUCCUUCUCUGUGCUUCAGGAGACUAAUAUCUACGGACUACAUUAUCUGAGCUGCCUUGCUUGUGGAUUUACCAUUGGGUUUGGCCAAUAGAGAUGUGGGCAGGAGAUCAGCAGGAAGAAACUAAGGUUGUAAUAUUUAUUGCUCAUGUUCAUCCCUUCUGGACUUCAGUUUGGCAGAAGAUGCAUCCUACCUACGACCAUGACUCCUACUGGGUGACCCUUUUCCCGCAGAUACAUCUCUUAUCAGCAGGUGCAAGAAACCUGAAUCUUAAUCCUGAAAUGGAGAAAGCCAAGAACGUCCUGAUCUAAACUACAGAGCCCUCAGAAGACUCAGAACAACACACAAGUUCUUGGGAAGCUACUGGAGGAUGUGUGUCAUCAAAACAAGGGAAUCAGCAGUCCUGUAUCUAUGAAGAAACAACUGGAAAUGAUAGGUUCUUGAAUUCCAAUUUUCUUUUAGGGCUCACAUUCUCCUCUGUUAAGUGCAUUCCCAAUCAGCUUCUUUCCUCAGGUUGGAAAGUGGCUGCCAGCAGCUACCAAGGUGCUAUCCUUCCAGAUUCACAUCCUGCAGAAAGAGCAUGAGAUUCCUGGCAGAAGAUUUGAGAUGCACUCAAAGUAUACUGGCUGAAGUCGGGCCUUAAGUCUGGAUGGGAUGCCCCUUUACCUGCUCCCAUUGGGUCCCGUACUUCCACCUUCAUAACACUAACAAUGCUAGAGUGUGGCAGCUCUCAAAGUGUCAUCCUCCAGCAGCAUCAGUAUCACCUACCUGGACAUUUCACAGAAAUGCAGAUUCUCUGGCUCCACCCACAUCCUCUGAAUCAGAAACUGUUGUGUGUGUGUGUGUGGGGGGGGGGGGUUCCGCAAGAUAUCUGUGCUUUAACAAGCCCUCUAGAAGAUUCUGAUGCACUCCCAGCUUGAGAACUCUACUUGCUCUAAUGCGAUUGCCUGUUUACUGUUGGGAUCCCACACCAGAUGUAAGCACCAGGAGGCAGGGCCGCAUCUGUUCCAUUCAACACUGUAUCUGCCAAGCCCACAGUAGGUGCUCUCCUAAUUCUAUGUGGUAGACUUCAAAAGACAAAGAAAGUGUUAUUCUCACUGGCUCUGGCCUGGACCAAGAGAAUGCAGAAAUGGCUUCCAUUCUGUGAGCUGUGACUUCUAACGUGGCCACAUAGCUGGUGGAGAGGUGACAACCUUCAUCUCCAAGGAUCCCCUGCACUGCUUGCUUUAUGCCCAGAGCAACCUCAUGCUGACAAGGACUGCACAGUUUUGAACACCCAUGCUCCAAUCAAAAGAAACCAAUUUGUGAGAGACGAUAUAAAUCCAUGAAUACUGCACUGAAACCUCUUUCUGCUCCAGGCAGAGAAGAUAAAUUACCACCCGAGUGAUAUAAAGUUAGUUUGAAUAUUUCAUUGGAUCAAAUGCAACAUGUCUCAGAACCUCUCCUCUUUUAAGUCAGAAUUAAAGAAUUGUUAUCAGGCAUAAUAAUAGACACUAUCAUUUGCAUACAUUUUAUCUCAAGAGACUUUUGAAGUUAUGCAAUACGCCAGUGGUUAAUUGUUCUUCACACUCCUGACAUAUCAAAUUACAGCUCAGAUGAGAGAGCAACCCAUUUGUGACUGGAAUGAUUGGCAGGAGCCUACAAGGAGAGCAUCUUCGAGGACUGAAGGAGGAGUAUCUUUUCAGGCUUUUCCAUGGAGACCUUGGAGACCAUGGGUUCUAGAUGGUUCUGUUAUAACAUGAUGGAGACUUCAUUAGUCUGGGUUCCUAGACGAGUGUGAAACACUUUCCCCACUGAUUGAAUUACAAUUAUAAUGUGAAAGAAAAAUAAAUCUUUAUUGUGUAAAACUACUGAAAUAUCAGAGUUACAAUACUGUAGUGUAGCAAAUUCUGGCAAAUACUUCCCAGCAUAUUUUCAAUUCCAUUUCAUUGGCCAAGCCUAGAUGAUAUGGUCACCUAUAGCUGAAGGAAGGCUGGGAAAGAUGGAAGAGGAUUGCUUAUUUGGCUUAAAAGAAUCAUGGUCUGCCCCCUGAGGCUGUUCUGACCCAGAAAAAAGUUGAGGUUCUAUUACACGGAAGCAAGAUAUUAGGUAGGCAACUUUCAGUGUCUGCCAAAUCACCAGACACUAUUCAGGCUAAACAAGGAAGAAGCUAAAGCCAAAAA
rnacentral:lncRNA from 1 species